CGGCCGCAAGGUUAAAACUCAAAUGAAUUGACGGGGGCCCGCACAAGCGGUGGAGCAUGUGGUUUAAUUCGAUGCAACGCGAAGAACCUUACCAGGUCUUGACAUCCUCGGAACUUGGCAGAGAUGCCUUGGUGCCUUCGGGAGCCGAGUGACAGGUGCUGCAUGGCCGUCGUCAGCUCGUGUCGUGAGAUGUUGGGUUAAGUCCCGUAACGAGCGCAACCCUUGUCCUUAGUUGCCAGCACGUCAUGGUGGGAACUCUAGGGAGACUGCCGGUGACAAACCGGAGGAAGGUGGGGACGACGUCAGGUCAUCAUGGCCCUUACGACCUGGGCUACACACGUGCUACAAUGGCUGGUACAGAGGGUUGCGAAGUCGCGAGGCGAAGCUAAUCCCUUAAAGCCAGUCGUAGUCCGGAUCGGAGUCUGCAACUCGACUCCGUGAAGUCGGAAUCGCUAGUAAUCGCGGAUCAGAAUGCCGCGGUGAAUACGUUCCCGGGCCUUGUACACACCGCCCGUCACACCAUGGGAGUGGAUUGCACCAGAAGUGGCCAGUCUAACUACGGAG
rnacentral:rRNA from 1 species